rnacentral:rRNA from 1 species
CUACGGGAGGCAGCAGUAAGGAAUAUUGGUCAAUGGACGCAAGUCUGAACCAGCCAUGCCGCGUGGAGGAUGAAGGUCCUCUGGAUUGUAAACUUCUUUUAUUUGGGAAGAAACCCACGAUUUCUAUUGUGGUUGACGGUACCAGAUGAAUAAGCACCGGCUAACUCCGUGCCAGCAGCCGCGGUAAUACGGAGGGUGCAAGCGUUAUCCGGAUUCACUGGGUUUAAAGGGUGCGUAGGCGGGCAGGUAAGUCAGUGGUGAAAUCCCCGAGCUUAACUUGGGAACUGCCGUGGAUACUCUCAAUCUUGAAUAUCGUGGAGGUAAGCGGAAUAUGUCAUGUAGCGGUGAAAUGCUUAGAUAUGACAUAGAACACCAAUUGCGAAGGCAGCUUGCUACACGGUCAUUGACGCUGAGGCACGAAAGCGUGGGGAUCAAACAGGAUUAGAAACCCCAGUAGUCC